rnacentral:lncRNA from 1 species
CGUUGUGGAGGCGGUGGAGUUAAGGUUAACCGGAAGAUGCACGACCAUACUUUCACUUUCAGUCUCAGAGCUGCAGCAUCUUCUCCACUUGGUACAGAUCGGAUUAAUCUGAUUCACAGUUUAUCCCGCAGUCAACAAUUCUCCAGUGCUAAAAACAAACCUACCAAUCAAUCAGUCCCCCUCACCAGCAGCAGGAUGGCCUUCCAAGUCUUAGUGCAUUUAGACAAAAAAACGAUCACGGUCACAGUGGCAGAAACCGAGGAACAGGCACUGAAGACUACCAUCAGAGAGUUAAAGGAGUUAAUUCUACAGACAGUGAAGGAAGAAAUCAGUAUUGACAAGUUCAGACUGAUCUUUGGGACUCAGCAGUUAGAAGAUAAUCGUACGCUGCAAGAUUAUAACAUAAUGCACGAUUCUGUAAUCAUGACGAUCUUCAUUAUAAAAGGAGGAGGUCACACCAUGGUUCCGGAGGAGCUUAAUUUCGUUACAAUUUUGUGGAAAAAUAAAUUUCAAAAGUGUAUUUGCCUUUUUAUUUUUUUUAUUUUUGACUGGAUGUACCUCCCAUACCUGAUAAGCUUACUGCCAUUUAGCCCUACCCAAUUAGUAUACAGACAGUUAGGACCCACCCAUUCAGCAUACAGCAGUUUAGCUCCACCCAUUCAGCCUACAAUAGUUUAGCUCCAUCCAUUCCACCUACAAUAGUUUAGCUCCACCCAUUCAGCCUACAGCUAUUUAGCCCCACCCAUUCAGCCUACAGCAGAUUAGCUUCACCCAUUCAGCCUACAGCAAAUUAGACCCACCCGUUCAGCCUACAGACGUUUUGCUUCACCCAUUCAGCCUACUGCAUCUUAGCACCACCCCUUCAGCCUUCAGUCGUUUAGUCCCACCCAUUCAGCCUACAGCAGAUUAGCUUCACCCAUUCAGUCUACAGCAAAUUAGCACCACCCAUUCAGCCUACAACAGUUUAGACCUACCUGCCUAUUCAGCCUACAGCCAUUUAGCCCCACCUAUUCAGCCUACAGCAGUUUAGCUCCACCCAUUUAGCCUACAACAGUUUAGACCCACCCAUUCAGCCUACAGCAAAUUAGACCCACCCAUUCAGCCUAUAGCAGGUUAGCCCCACCCAUUCAGCCUAUAGCAGGUUAGACCCACCCAUUUAGCCUACAGUUGUUGAGCCCUGCACUUAGUUUUGUGGUAGAAUGUAACUUUUUUUGUUACAUUAUUAUUAUUUUAUCAGUAAGUUACUGUUCAAGAAAUAGACAAAAGUUUAUAGAUUUUCUGUUUUUAGUGAAUGUGUGAAACUGUAUAUUAUAUUUUUACAAAAUAAAAGUUUUAUUUUGUUGCA